AUUGAACGCUGGCGGCAUGCCCUACACAUGCAAGUCGAACGGCAGCACGGGUGCUUGCACCUGGUGGCGAGUGGCGAACGGGUGAGUAAUACAUCGGAACGUACCUUAUCGUGGGGGAUAACGCAGCGAAAGCUGUGCUAAUACCGCAUACGCCCUGAGGGGGAAAGCGGGGGAUCGCAAGACCUCGCGCGAUUAGAGCGGCCGAUGCCUGAUUAGCUUGUUGGUGGGGUAAAAGCCCACCAAGGCGACGAUCAGUAGCUGGUCUGAGAGGACGAUCAGCCACACUGGGACUGAGACACGGCCCAGACUCCUACGGGAGGCAGCAGUGGGGAAUUUUGGACAAUGGGGGCAACCCUGAUCCAGCAAUGCCGCGUGAGUGAAGAAGGCCUUCGGGUUGUAAAGCUCUUUUGUCAGGGAAGAAACACCGGCUCUAACACAGUCCGGGAAUGACGGUACCUGAAGAAUAAGUACCGGCUAACUACGUGCCAGCAGCCGCCGUAA
rnacentral:rRNA from 1 species